rnacentral:rRNA from 1 species
GAUGAACGCUAGCGGCAGGCCUAACACAUGCAAGUCGAGGGGUAGCAGGAUUAAGCUUGCUUAAUUGCUGACGACCGGCGCACGGGUGCGUAACGCGUAUGCAACCUACCUUAUACUGGGGUAUAGCACGGAGAAAUUCGGAUUAAUCCCCCAUAGUACUAAUGAAUCGCAUGGUUUAUUAGUUAAAGCAUUGCGGUAUAAGAUGGGCAUGCGUCCUAUUAGCUAGAUGGUGAGGUAACGGCUCACCAUGGCUACGAUAGGUAGGGGGCCUGAGAGGGUGGUCCCCCACACUGGUACUGAGACACGGACCAGACUCCUACGGGAGGCAGCAGUGAGGAAUAUUGGUCAAUGGGCGCAAGCCUGAACCAGCCAAGCCGCGUGCAGGAAGAAUGCCCUAUGGGUUGUAAACUGCUUUUAUUUGGGAAUAAACCUCUUUACGUGUAGAGAGCUGAAGGUACCAAAUGAAUAAGCACCGGCUAACUCCGUGCCAGCAGCCGCGGUAA